rnacentral:lncRNA from 1 species
UCCAUAAUCAACAUAUUUAGCAGAAUAAGAGAUGAAUCUAGAAUUCAGGCCCUUAAUUUUGAGUGGUAACUUUUCCCCAACAUAUAACAAACUACUCUAAAAAGAAACUAUAUCUAUAUGUUAUGGGCUGCAUGUUUGUGUUCCCUCAAGUCAUGUGUUCAAACCCUAACCCUCAAAGAGAUGGUAUGAGGUGGUGGGGCCUUUGUGAUGCAAUUAAGUCAUGAGAGUAGAAUCCUCAUGAUGGGAUUAAUGCCUUUAUAUGAGACUCAAUAACACUUGCUUCCUUUCUCUCUGCCAUGUGAGGGUACAACAAGAAGGCUGCCAUAUGGAAACCAGGACCAGAACCUGACCAUGCUGGCACCCUAAUUUUGAACUUCCCAUCCUCUAAAACUAUGAAAAACUGGAUACUGGAGACACCAGCAACGCAAAAACGCCAAUGGAGGAGACCCAGAAAAGAAAAGCCCCAAGAAAAGCAUGCCCUCUCUAUCCAGGAAGCGGGCAGCCUAGCAAGACAGAAGCUUUUCGACAAUAACCACUCCACUCUAGCUAACCACCACAGAAAAAAACAGCAGCCCACCCCCACCAACCCUGCCAGCAAAGGCCAAGUGGUGAAGCUAGAUGUCCAUCCUCUGUAGGCUGUAAAAAGAAGUCCCAAUCUUCUGCUGGGGUAGAAACAGAGAAGGCUGAGUGGGGGAGCCACCCACAAAGAUAUCAGUGAAGACCAAGAGGAGACCAUUCAACUUCACUCCUAGGUUAAUUCUCUUCAAUAGUAGCUGCUACUGAAUUAAUCUGGCCAGGAGGCAAAGUAGGGCAAGAAUAGAGUGUAUUACAGAAAUUCACAAGAAAGUGCUAACUCGCCAUUUAAGUACUGUUUAUAGCUAGGUGUGGUGACUCAUGCCUGUAAUCUUAGCACUUUGGGAGGCAGGCGGAUUACUUGAGGCCAGGAGUUCGAGACCAGCCUAGCCAACAUGGGGAAACCUCAUCUCUACUAAAAACACAAAAAUCAGCCGGGCGUAGUGGCACAUGCCUGUAAUCCUAGCUACUUAGGAGGCUGAGGCACGAGAAUCACUUGAACCCAGGAGGUGGAGGUUAUAGUGAGCCAAGAUUGUGCCACUGCACUCCGGCCUAGGCAACAGAGUGAGACUGUCUCUCAAAAAAAAAAAAAAAGAAAGGAAAAAAAAGUACUGUUUAUAGAGCUCCUAUUGUUACAAGGCACUAGGCUGGAGAAAUGGAAGGAAAGAUAUGUUAAUAGAUGGGGGCUGACAAAAAUUAAAAAAAAUAAAGUAGUGUCUACUGAUCUUUUAAUUCAAGCCUAUGAUUUGCCCUAAUGACAAGACUAUAUCAUAAAAAUGAGUUCAUAUAAGAAAAAAAUGGGUAUAACAAAAGAAAAAUACUUUAAAGAGGUUUGGAGCCCCUUCUAUUUUAUUUCUUAUUUGUAUUUAUAUUAUUUUAUUAUUAUUCCUAAUCAGACUGAAGUUGCAACAUUUCUGUAUAUGCUUAAAGUCACAUAGAAAUGUAUGCUGCCAACUCUUUUGCUAUCUUCCAAUUAGGAAAAAAAUAAAUGAACCACAGCGAAGAAGUAGAUUAUAUGAGGAAAACCUUUAAAAAUUAGUGGAAGAGAGGAUACAGAGUAUCCAAAACCAGAUGUUUAGUUGAUAUAUUUCUUUUAAAAUAUACGUUCACAAAUCUCAUUGCAACAGAAGGCUAUCCCUUUUCAUAGUAUAAAAAUGGUUAAAAGCAAUGAUACAUAUUUAGAGUUACAAAAAAUAAACAUCUAAGUAAAGCAGUUUCAAGCCUAAUGUACAAGUUAUUUGGAUAAGAAAAUGGGCAUUAAGAAAAUAGCAGACUUGAGAUUUAGGUUCACUAGGACCACUUAGUGUAAGUGUAUUACUGGCAAAUUCAAUAGCCUUAGAGAGGUCAUCAUGGUUAGCCUUCUUCAAUCCCUCUGCCUAGAAUACUGCAAGGUAUCAAUAAAUGCUUACUUAAUGAAGGAAUGCCACAUUUGACAUUUGGCUUUCCCUUCACUUAGCUUCCGUGAAACUUUUCUGACUGCCUCGAAAAUCACAGGCUAUCACUUGGAAUUCAGUUAUCUGCUAUUCUUAAACAAAUGUGGACUUUUUUAUUCCUUCUGUGGUUCAACUCAGACACUGCAACUUUGAACUGAAAUAAAUGAUUCACUCUCUAGUCUAAAUGUAUUCAACUGGUUACUGAGAAAAUUUCAGAUUUAUACUGCUUCUUCCAACUUGAUUACAGUACUUUAAUACCUGCAUUCCAAAUGUUAAACUACCUCUAAUCCUUUACAUUUGUAAUAAAAACAAAUACUUUACAUAUUUAUUAUUGCAACUUCCAGUGUUUACUCUGUGAAACUUAUGAAGAGAUUGCAUUUUUACCUUGUACAUUUAUUCAGCUUGGCUAAAGAACUCAAUUUAAAUUUUAUCUAUAUUAAAAAGCCUCUGAAAUACAAGGACACUUGGUUUUCAAUUUGCAUUUAAAAGAUGUGUAUUUAACAAAAUGUUUUAUUUCUUUCAAAAGAAUUUAAUUUGAAGUUCUC